rnacentral:tRNA from 1 species
ACAUAGGCAAGAAUAAUAAACACAAUAAUCCUAAACCUCAGGCUCUUGAUGCCAAUUGUUGGUUUUU